rnacentral:rRNA from 1 species
CACGUAGGCACCAAGCGUUGCCCGGAUUUAUUGGGCGUAAAGAGCUCGUAGGCGGUUCAGUAAGUCGGGUGUGAAAACUCUGGGCUUAACCCAGAGCCGCCACUCGAUACUGCUGUGACUUGAGUUCGGUAGGGGAGCGGGGAAUUCCUAGUGUAGCGGUGAAAUGCGCAGAUAUUAGGAGGAACACCGGUGGCGAAGGCGCCGCUCUGGGCCGAUACUGACGCUGAGGAGCGAAAGCGUGGGUAGCAAAACAGG